rnacentral:misc_RNA from 1 species
UCUCCGUUGGUGAACCUGCGGAGGGAUCAUUACAGAGUUCUCGCCCUCGCGGGUAGAUCUCCCACCCACUGUUAUCGUUACUGUGUUGCUUUGGCGGGCCGCCGGGCCCCGCUCGGCCGCCGGCUCCGGCUGGCGCGCGCCCGCCAGAGGCCCAGCAAACUCUGAAUGUUAGUGUCGUCUGAGUACUAUAUAGUAGUUAAAACUUUCAACAACGGAUCUCUUGGUUCUG